rnacentral:rRNA from 1 species
CUUAGUAACGGCGAGUGAAGCGGCAAAAGCUCAAAUUUGAAAUCUGGUACCUUCGGUGCCCGAGUUGUAAUUUGGAGAGGGCAACUUUGGGGCCGUUCCUUGUCUAUGUUCCUUGGAACAGGACGUCAUAGAGGGUGAGAAUCCCGUGUGGCGAGGAGUGCGGUUCUUUGUAAAGUGCCUUCGAAGAGUCGAGUUGUUUGGGAAUGCAGCUCUAAGUGGGUGGUAAAUUCCAUCUAAAGCUAAAUAUUGGCGAGAGACCGAUAGCGAACAAGUACAGUGAUGGAAAGAUGAAAAGAACUUUGAAAAGAGAGUGAAAAAGUACGUGAAAUUGUUGAAAGGGAAGGGCAUUUGAUCAGACAUGGUGUUUUGUGCCCUCUGCUCCUUGUGGGUAGGGGAAUCUCGCAUUUCACUGGGCCAGCAUCAGUUUUGGUGGCAGGAUAAAUCCAUAGGAAUGUAGCUUGCCUCGGUAAGUAUUAUAGCCUGUGGGAAUACUGCCAGCUGGGACUGAGGACUGCGACGUAAGUCAAGGAUGCUGGCAUAAUGGUUAUAUGCCGC